AUACAAAACAAAACCUACACAAAAUAUUAUGCUGAUUUCUGUAGCAAAUUGUAGUUACUUCGAAGGCCUCAAAGAUUUUUACUGUGAAAAAAUCGCAAUCCUUACUAGUUUUGUUUAAAUUAGUUUUACAUUGUCAAGACUUCAGAAACACAAAGAGUAUUUUAAGAUGAUACAUACUGAGUGGUCAUCAUAAAAAAAUUAUCUGUCAUGGAAAACUGCUGAUAACUGACUUAAAAAAAAUAUUGAAAUUCCCAAUUCCAUUUUUUUAAUGCUACCUAAGAACUCUACGAUUGAUAAACGGAUUCUGGCAUUUAUAAAAAUUACUAAUGGUAUACUUUCAAAUUAAUGUCUUUAGAAAAUUGAUAAAAGUCAAUUCAGUUAUUAACUUCUAAAUAAAUUUAAAAAAAUAGCCAAUGUAUUAUUUGUAUCAACAAAUUUGAAUUGAAUUUUCUAUCUUCACAUUUGUUAGCGUUAUACGUUUCCUUUACUUUUUUAUCUCUUACUUGAAUUUGAUUUAUGAAUCUAGAUCCUUGCUUCUCUUAUGUUCCUAUUUAAAUAUAUUUUUCAAUAUUUGAGCAAAAAUUGUAGUGUAUAUACUUGUACUACUUAUAUACUUUGUGGUAUCAUUACAUUUACAUAUAGCUUUCUCAUGAUUAUGUUAUUAAGCUAAGUUGGUUUUAUUGAUUUAAAUAUAUGCUAGUUUCUUUUGUGCUUCCAAACAUUACAGUUUAUCAAUAUUUCAAUGUAAUACUUUUAAUCUUUUUUAUCAUUUAUAGAUUGUAGGCAAUUACCCUGUAGGUGCUGAUGUAUUUUUGAUUCAUUGCCUAUGCAUUAUACAUUAAAUAAAAUAGAUAAUAUGUUAUCUGUUUCAUAUACUCUGAUAAGAUUCUGUCAGAAUCAGGUGCAAGUUUUAUGCAAAAUAUUAGAAUAUGUACAUAUAUUUACGUCAGUCGUAUGUAGACUAUGACUCAAAUAUCUGCAUCAUCAAGUCAACAAGAUAUUUAUUGGACGUCAGCAAAAUGAAACCGCUCAAACUGAAGAGAAAAUUUACAGUAAAAUCGACAUUCGUCACCAAAAAAAACAACACAAUGUUGAAAAAGAUCACGAAGUACUCAAUUGACAUUUGGAGGAUUCAAUCAUUUUGGACACAUUCCUGACUACGCACCGUCUGGCAAGCAUUUUUCUAAUAAUAGAACAUACCACGACGUUAAAAAGACAUCCAAAUAUAGCCAGUCAACGAGCAAUCUAUACAACGACACUUCGUUCCGUUCACUACCAAAUGCCAAACCAAACAGCCAACGAGUAAGGAUGACGGAACAGAAAGACUACGAUGGCGACGAACGACCUUCAUUCGUUUGUUAAAUAUUAUCGAUGAUGUCGUCAUCGACUACUUAAAAAUUUUAAUUAUUUAUGAUUUAAUUGUGCAUUAAAAAAAAUGCUAUUACAACUGGAAUACGUUCCAUUUUAUACUUAGUUUGACUGUUAUUUUCCAAAUCCCAAAAUAUUUUAAAUGACGACGCAAUGACAUUCUCCUCUGUACACUCAUCAGUCAUUAUUGUCAAGCUGUUAAAUUGAUAUUAAUUAAAACUUUUUUUAAUUAAUUAAAUGUGCCCUUCGCAUUUAACCCAAUAUUUAUGGUCUGUAAUAUAACAAAAAAAACAAAAACGAUUCUUUAAAAAUUAACUGUUAUUUAAAAUGAAACUUGCGCCAUCUAGUGUAGAAAUAGACAUUUUAGAAUGCCAUCUAGUGUCAUCUUCUUAUAUUUCUAGUUUAAAUUUUGCUAUGGGCUACAAGAUGUCUUACAGCAGAGCAUUUUUUGAGCAAAAUUUUGAAACAUUUUGUGAUGUUUGCUAUCAGUGUUAAACUAUGAUGUGUGUAUUAUGGAGGGUAGAGGUGAGGAGAAGCGUCUUUGUGUGUGACAGUGUCCGUUAAAAUCAGCUAUAUAAGGGUGGCGCUACAGUAGCAACCGGUUAAAUUUAAAAAAAGGCGCUGAAAGUUAUUACAAUAAGAUAGAGAAAUGAAAAAAGGACGAAAGAACUGUAAGCACUACAAAAUCACAAAAAGUAUUUUAUUUAGCUGAUGAGAAAAUGCAAUCGAUGUCUCCACGUUUUACCAUAGCAAUAAUUUUAGGUUAUAUUGACGAAAUUCGUUUGGACUACGUAAACAUCAUCAAAUCCACAUCCUAGUAGUUAGGGGAUAACUAUUCCACCACCAAGCUAGUCAGAGCGCAGCGGGACCUCCCCAUAUGCUGAUUUUCUGAGACUGACGAGGAAGGAACCCAAUAAGAUAACUUCUACACGCGUCUUGCUAAGUAACCAGAUGACCGCACUCUUUCCCAUCCAUCCUGGCUUCUGCUCAGCGAAGUUUCCCGGGGACUGGAGCCAACGGUGUCGUCUAGGCGGGUUUUGGGUUGAGUGUCUUUUAACCGAGAGGCUCUGUGGUCAUGGCGCCAAUUUUCGCCAGUCCGACGAUACGUGGAUUAGAGACUCCGUUGCUCAUGCUUUGCCUACCGUCUCCAACCGACUCAAAAAAGAGUAUAUCGGAGCUCGCAUGAGUAGGUUUCACUAUACUGCCAUUUUUAUGCCACGAAGAAAUUGUUGUGCAUUCCAGUUUGAAAAUGAAAUAUUCUCCAUAGGACAGUUGUUUGCGUUAGUAAAAUAUUUUACCAUUGGAAAAAAUGAUGAUUUGCUGGAAUCGAGAAAUAUUUGAGUGCGUUUAAAAAUAUUUAAUUAACGAUUCAAACACAACGGCAUCAAACAGAUUUCUACACACAAUCCGUCGACGCUUGCAAAAAAAACCUGAAAUCCUCUUGAAAAUUCUAUGCAACAGUAAUGACGAAUUCAAGUAAAGACGAAAGGUCACUAAUUGAAUCGAUUUACUAGUCUGCACUCUGCGCAUAGACUUGCACAAAAUAAUAUACAUAAACUAUGCGCCUUGGGUGAGCACCCACCUAGCCACCUGUAUCACUGGCCACUCACACUGACUUGCAAGCCGCAGUUUACGUUCGACUUUCAAACGCGUUCGUUGCGCGCGAAACAGCUGUCAGAAAUUGGCGCCAAUUUCGAUAUUUGAUAACAAUUUUUAUUUUGUUUACUUAGUAUCAUUUUGUUGUGAACCAAAAAAAAACAAUGUGUGCGAGAUAAUGUUUUGUUUAGUAAAUUUUAAUAUUCAAUAUUAGUAAUGCGAGUGUUUUCAGUGUAAUAGUGGUUACUAAUAGUGAAAGUGUUAAAGGAUUUAUUUAUUUAGUCAAAAUGAAGCGGUUUUUAUUGGGUGGAUUUUUAUUUCUGUCUGUUUUGGUUGGUGAGUGAAGAAUUAAAUGGUUAUUUAUUAAAUUAGUUGUAUCAAUAAAGUGAUCACCAAUGGAAAACAUCGACGAAUUGUAAUAUUAUUUAUUAUGUCACCUCAAUUUUAGGUACAAAUGACAGAGCAAUGUUGACAACAUCUUGAAAUUAAAAUUAAGAAUAAUUUAAUAACAACUCAACGAAUUUUUUUUAAAAUAUAUUAAGUACAUAAUAGUAGAAUGUCAUAUUAAUAAUAAUAUGACAUUCAUACAUAGUAACAAAAAAAAAAGUUAUUGAGAGAAAAAAUAAUAAGUAAAAUUUAAGUAAAUUUGUUUGAAAUAAUUAUGAUAAAAAUAAUGUUUAGUAUUAAAACUGCUCUCUAUAAUUCUAAAACAAAUUCAGUCUAGGAUUAAAUACUAAAUUAUUUGCAAUCAAAUCCUUGAAAUAAUUAUUCAUAUUCACACCACAAACGAAGGUCGUCGGAUGUUGACGAACAAAGCUAAUGCAUACCAAAAA